CCUACGGGUGGCAGCAGUGGGGAAUAUUGCACAAUGGGGGAAACUCUGAUGCAGCGACGCCGCGUGCGUGAAGAAGUAAUUCGUUAUGUAAAGCUCUAUCAGCAGGGAAGAAAAUGACGGUACCUGAGUAAGAAGCCCCGUCUAACUACGUGCCAGCAGCCGCGGUAAUACGUAGGGGGCAAGCGUUAUCCGGAUUUACUGGGUGUAAGGGGAGUGUAGACGGGAGUGUAAGUCGGGAGUGAAAGGCGGGGGCUCAACCCCCGGACUGCACUGGAAACUGUACGGCUGGAGUGCAGGAGAGGUAGGUGGAAUUCCUGGUGUAGCGGUGAAAUGCGUAGAUAUUAGGAGGAACACCAGUGGCGAAGGCGGCUGACUGGACUGUAACUGACGUUGAGGCUCGAAAGCGUGGGGAGCAAACAGGAUUAGAUACCCUGGUAGUC
rnacentral:rRNA from 1 species